rnacentral:lncRNA from 1 species
ACACAAUACCAUUAUUCGGAAAAUUUUAUAGAUGCUAUGCAACGUAUAGUACCGUUGUUCAACCAACGCGCGAAGAGUUGAAGGUAACGCAACAAAGGCACCAAACAAGAUAUAUAGCGCUGAAAUACAAGCGGUGAGGAAGAAAAAGCAAAACCAAAGGCCGAGGUGAAUAGAUUGAAUGGUAAUUGCAAAGAAGCGAACUACAAAAAGAGCGAAGAAACAAAUUAUUAAAGGAAUUUUUGCUUCAGUAAAUAGUCGAUCACGCAUGUUAGUUGAAUAACGGGUAUAUCCCCAAGAGAGUAUUAAUAAUAACGCAAGGUCCAAGACUAACUGACACGCAAACAAAAUUGACACCAGAGUCUCUCCUAACCAUGUGAAGUUCCCCCGAUUUCUCAAAUUUUCUGUAUCCAACACAAUAGAAGUGACAGCCUGUUGAGCACACGAAAAGAUUAGCAAGAACAUAAUUGCCUUUUGAACGGUAACAAUCGAAUGUUUAUAUUGAAAUCGGAAAAACAUCCAAAGUGCAAGAAUUACACUAUAAGCGAUUGUGAUUCCACCAGAUAUAGGCAUUCUAGGGAAUUGAGAAGCGGGAAGCCCACCAUACGCAUUUUGCCAAUUGACAAGAGCUUGAUAAGGUAACAUUUUUUUCGAAUGAGACCAAAUGCAAUAAUAACCUGACUGAGAGAUUUCAUAUAUAAUGUUUUGAGGGUCAGCAUUUGUCGGAAUUAUAUAAGAACGAAUGGAUUUUGCUGACGUUGAGUUCCACAAAUAUAGUCCCAGUUGAUCGGCUUCACAUAGGUGAUCCGUGUAUACCGCAUCGUAAUCGCAAAUGUAAGUGAAUUGAUCAUCAGAACGGAAUGCACCUAACUUGCGGAUUUCUUUCCAAUUGAAUAUCAAAACCUCAACUUCAUCUUCUUGACCCCAUGGUUCAGUCCAAUUCACUAACGUCGUAAGUUUUUUAAAUAAAAGCGUAAAAAAAGAUAUGUACAUACCAUAAAUUGCUGGAUUUAAAGACCCUCCAGAUUCCGAUUUCGAGUAAAUGCCAUUGCACAAUUCAUAAUGCUUGAAAUUCUAGCAAGAAGCCGCAGUUAGCAAAUGAUACGCAAGAAAUCUGAUUGUUUUACCAGUAAUGUUUUUUCUGAAUAAACUAUGGAAAAGAAUAUACUCCAUAGAAGAGAUAUCAGUAAUUUCAUGGUUUAUGAUGAGAGCAUUAGAUUUUUUAUACUUCGAAGGACUGGGAACAAAAAUUAAAUACCAAUGUUAUGUAAAUCAAUGUACAAAAUAUUUUUUCCCAAAACCGAUUCACGGAUUAUCUGCCAAAGUUGAGAUUCAGAAGUUGGUGGAGGUUAUUGACUACUUAAUAAAUAGUAAUUUAUUUAUAGUUAGGCGAUUAGCAAGGUUCAAAAAAUAGCUGAGAAAGGUGUUGAUUCGAGCCUGGACAUCAACAUUUUAAUUAAUUUUUUCUUUCUAUAAACAAUUUUGCUUGACUUGCUGAAUUUCGCUAAGGAUCAACAUCAUUGACUACUGGUGAAUUCUUUCUUUGUUAUCGGCCCAGAAAUUACCAACCGUAAAAUGUAUUUUCCGCAAUUAAAGAAAAUUGUGAGGAUUUAUCCUUCUAUUCGGUUUCAUUUAAUAAAUUGAGAGCAUUGAUGAAUAAAUAGACUAGGUGUAGAAAAAAAUUUAGUUGACGAAGCCGAAUUUAAUACCGCAUGUUGUCUGGUCUAAACUUCUAUUUUUGGUGAAACCGGUUUCCAUUAAAAUAUCAACAAAAGUGAUAUUGCUAAACGUGGCAUUUAUAGUGUCUAAAGAAAGUAUAAUAAAAACCAACCAAGAGGUCGUUGAUGAGAAAUAAUUAUAUAAAUAAUUAGUUAAAUCAUGAGA